ACCAAAAUAGAGCUGACAGGUUUGGCGGAAACGCCAAUGAAAAGGGAAUCCGGUGUUAAUCCGGAGCUGCCCCCGCAACUGUGACCGGCGAGCGAAGACCCUCAUAUGCCACUGGAUGAUUCCGGGAAGGUGGGGUCCAAGCACUGACCCGGAAGUCAGGAGACCUGCCCGUCAGUUGUCACCCAU
rnacentral:ncRNA from 2 species